UUUGGGUCAUUCAUUAGUCAUUACUUAAGCAAAUUGUCCCAACCAAAAGUUUCUCAGCCUUUGCCUCUUCCAUACACACGUCCCUCGUUUGUUUUACUUUUAUUUGUUCAUACUGAACUAAACCGGAACUUAACCGAGCAGAACAAAUCCGGUUUCUUUUCGAACUUUUUGUUUCCUAGUUGUCAUGUAACUUUGGUCUACUUUCUCCUUCUGUUUAUC